UACGUAGGGUGCAAGCGUUAAUCGGAAUUACUGGGCGUAAAGCGUGCGCAGGCGGUGAUGUAAGACAGAUGUGAAAUCCCCGGGCUCAACCUGGGAAUGGCAGUGGAUACUGGCAAGCUAGAGUGCGGUAGAGGGUAGUGGAAUUCCCGGUGUAGCAGUGAAAUGCGUAGAGAUCGGGAGGAACACCAGUGGCGAAGGCGGCUACCUGGACCAGCACUGACACUGAAGCACGAAAGCGUGGGGAGCAAACAGGG
rnacentral:rRNA from 1 species